UCCCUUUCUGUUUUCGAGCUCAAGGGCGGGUUCGGGGGGAUCCUCGUUGCCUUAGCGACUAACCGGUGAAACUUUGUGGGCGCAGUUUUAUAUUCGGCUGUCUCUGUAGGGAGAGUAACCCGCUGUUCAGCUUCGCCUUUUUUUUUCCAGAAAAGAAAAAGAAAAAAAAAAAGCUUUAACAAUAAAUCUCAAGCAAACUUGAGCAAGCUGGUCUGGCCAAAAAGAAGGCGUUAAUGAUCAAUCUUUGUCGAAGUUUGCAGAAAAAGGUGAACUUCUCCUUACGCACCGGGGCGGGGACAUUGUGGAGGUUGCAUCUGCCUGCUGGAUUUUGCAGGGCACCGCAGUCGACAGCGAUCCAUCAGUGUGUGUGUCUGUGUGUGUGUGUGCACCAGGAAAGGGGGUGUCGUGGUUUUCGGGUCUGGGCGAUCCGCGAGCGCAGCGCGAGGACUCGCCCCCACGGCAGCUGCCCGCCACGUGACCGCCGCGCCGUCACAGCUGGGCUCGGAGAGCGGUCGGGCUCCGGGCCGGGUCUGCCCCAAGACUGCUCCUCCGGGGCAUGGCAAGAGCUCCGGCUGGGGCUGGACAGCUCUCUCCCGUGUGCUCCCGGGCUCGCCGCGAUUGAAAAUGCUCUGGUUUCUGGAAGGGAUGUGCCUGUUGCCCACGUCCUUGGUCAUCUGGUCCUCCGUUUCCUUCGUCCUCUCCUAUAUCGUCGCCCUGCUCCGGCGUGAUGUCGACGUCGUGUUCCCGUAUAUAAGUGAUACAGGGACGGAGCCACCUGAGAGUUGCAUUUUUGGUGUGAUGAUAACCAUCAGUGCCUUUCUGGGUGUGUCCACUAUGUUUACAAGGUACAAGUUUCUUGAGAAGUUAAAUGAAACAGCAGAUAGACUUGACCCCAGACUGAAUCUGGCUGCACUUUGUGUUGGAAUAAUUGGGUGCUUGGGAAUGUGUGUUGUGGCCACCUUUCAGGAAACAGCCAUCAUGGUGGUUCAUGACCUUGGUGCUCUCCUUGCCUUUGUUUCUGGGGUCAUCUAUAUUCUCCUCCAGUCCAUCAUCUCCUACAAGAUGCGCCCACAUGGGUCUUCACUGGCCACGUGCCACACCCGCAUGACAAUCUCCAUCAUCUCCCUGAUCGCUGUGUUCCCGACGAUCAUAUGUGCUGCUUGCUUGAAAAUGUCCAAGUUACACUGGGACCCGCAUGACAAGGCUUCCUCUGUGAUCUCCUCCUGUGUUCUAGGGAUAUGGCUUGCAUGUGACAAGUGCUGCAUGUGAAUGGACAGUGGCCUUUGGCUUCGUCUGUUAUUUCCUGACCUACAUUAGAGAGUUUCAGACGUUUACAUUGAAGAUGAAGAUACAGAUAUUUGACUGUUCUUGACACUGCAUUUUAUUCCAGAAAAGGUUUCUUGGACUCCAGAAAGGUUUAUAGGACAUAAAGGGAUUCUUUUUAAAAAAGAAGGUUAAAUCAGUUUUAUUUUCAUAGCAUUUUUAUUAAAUUGUACAUCUGUAAUAAUACCUUGUGCAAAAAUAACAUUAGAAACCUUGAAAUAAAAAGGUGCCAUUUUAUCCA